GACGAACGCUGGCGGCGUGCUUAACACAUGCAAGUCGAACGGAAAGGCCCUGCUUGCAGGGUACUCGAGUGGCGAACGGGUGAGUAACACGUGGGUGAUCUGCCCUGCACUUCGGGAUAAGCCUGGGAAACUGGGUCUAAUACCGGAUAGGAGCCAUUUUUAGUGUGAUGGUUGGAAAGUUUUUUCGGUGUAGGAUGAGCUCGCGGCCUAUCAGCUUGUUGGUGGGGUAAUGGCCCACCAAGGCGGCGACGGGUAGCCGGCCUGAGAGGGUGGACGGCCACAUUGGGACUGAGAUACGGCCCAGACUCCUACGGGAGGCAGCAGUGGGGAAUAUUGCACAAUGGGCGCAAGCCUGAUGCAGCGACGCCGCGUGGGGGAUGACGGCCUUCGGGUUGGAAACUCCUUUCGCUAGGGACGAAGCUUUUUGUGACGGUACCUAGAUAAGAAGCACCGGCUAACUACGUG
rnacentral:rRNA from 1 species